ACCAGGUUUUCCGAAGGAAAAAACUGGUUAUUAGAUUGGCGAAUGCGGGCGGGCUGGCGGGCUGGCGGGCUGGCUGGCGGGCGGGCGGAACAAGCUUGUCCGGGCCAUAACUAUGUCGUUCAUUGUCAGAUUUUAAAAUCAUUUGGCACAUUUGUUCACCAUCAUUGGACAGUGUGUCGCGCGAAAUAAUUACGUCGAUAUCUCCAAGGUCAAGGUCACACUUUGAGUUCAAAGGUCAAAAAUGGCCAUAAAUGAGCUUGUCCUGGCCAUAACUAUGUCAUUCAUUGUGAGAUUUUAAAAUCAUUUGACACAUUUGUUCACCAUCAUGGGACGGUGUGUCGCACGAAAGAAUCACGUCAAUAUCUCCAAUGUCAAGGUCGCCACGACUAAAAAUAGAUUU